rnacentral:rRNA from 1 species
GUUUGAUCCCGGCGGAGGUUACUGCUAUCGAGGUUCGACUAAGCUAUGCGAGUCGAAUGUAGCAAUACAUGGCGUACUGCUCAGUAACACGUGGACAACCUACCCUUAGGUCGGGGAUAAACCCGGGAAACUGGGUAUAAUACCCGAUAGUCCUCGGAUGCUGGAAUGCACCGAGGUCUAAAGCUCCGGCGCCUAAGGAUGGGUCCGCGGCCUAUCAGGUAGUAGUGGGUGUAGCGUACCUACUAGCCUACGACGGGUACGGGUUGUGAGAGCAAGAGCCCGGAGAUGGAUUCUGAGACACGAAUCCAGGCCCUACGGGGUGCAGCAGGCGCGAAAACUUUACAAUGCCGGCAACGGCGAUAAGGGGACCUCGAGUGCCAGGUUACAAAUCUGGCUGUCGUGAUGCCUAAAAAGCAUUGCAUAGCAAGGGCCGGGCAAGACCGGUGCCAGCCGCCGCGGUAACACCGGCGGCUCGAGUGGUAACCGUUAUUAUUGGGUCUAAAGGGUCUGUAGCCGGCCGGAUAAGUCUCUUGGGAAAUCCAGCAGCUCAACUGUUGGGCUUUCAGGAGAUACUGUCUGGCUCGAGGCCGGGAGAGGUGAGAGGUACUUCAGGGGGUAGGGGGAAAUCUUGUAAUUCUGAGGACCACCA